UCCGUAGACUGUAUUGUAAGUUAUUUGUUAAAUCCUAAAGCCUAACUUUAGAAAAGCAUUUAAUACUACUAUACUUGAGUUUUUUGUCAGAAGAGUAGAAUUUCAUGUCGAGGAGUAACGACUGCAGACACAUGAAGGAAUAUCAGCAGCGAAGGCGGCUCCUUGGUAAAAACUGACGUUGAGGGACGAAAGUGUAGGUAGCAAACA
rnacentral:rRNA from 1 species